rnacentral:rRNA from 1 species
GAUGAACGCUGGCGGCGUGCCUAAUACAUGCAAGUCGAGCGAACGGACGAGAAGCUUGCUUCUCCGAUGUUAGCGGCGGACGGGUGAGUAACACGUGGAUAACCUACCUAUAAGACUGGGAUAACUUCGGGAAACCGGAGCUAAUACCGGAUAAUAUUUUGAACCGCAUGGUUCAAAAGUGAAAGACGGUCUUGCUGUCACUUAUAGAUGGAUCCGCGCUGCAUUAGCUAGUUGGUAAGGUAACGGCUUACCAAGGCAACGAUGCAUAGCCGACCUGAGAGGGUGAUCGGCCACACUGGAACUGAGACACGGUCCAGACUCCUACGGGAGGCAGCAGUAGGGAAUCUUCCGCAAUGGGCGAAAGCCUGACGGAGCAACGCCGCGUGAGUGAUGAAGGUCUUCGGAUCGUAAAACUCUGUUAUUAGGGAAGAACAUAUGUGUAAGUAACUGUGCGCAUCUUGACGGUACCUAAUCAGAAAGCCACGGCUAACUACGUG